rnacentral:rRNA from 3 species
UCUGUAGCAAGGUUAACCGUAUAGGGGAGCCGUAGGGAAACCGAGUCUUAACCGGGCGUUAAGUUGCAGGGUAUAGACCCGAAACCCGGUGAUCUAGCCAUGGGCAGGUUGAAGGUUGGGUAACACUAACUGGAGGACCGAACCGACUAAUGUUGAAAAAUUAGCGGAUGACCUGUGGCUGGGGGUGAAAGGCCAAUCAAACCGGGAGAUAGCUGGUUCUCCCCGAAAGCUAUUUAGGUAGCGCCUCGUGAAUUCAUCUCCGGGGGUAGAGCACUGUUUCGGCUAGGGGGCCAUCCCGGCUUACCAACCCGAUGCAAACUGCGAAUACCGGAGAAUGUUAUCACGGGAGACACACGGCGGGUGCUAACGUCCGUCGUGAAGAGGGAAACAACCCAGACCGCCAGCUAAGGUCCCAAAGUCAUGGUUAAGUGGGAAACGAUGUGGGAAGGCCCAGACAGCCAGGAUGUUGGCUUAGAAGCAGCCAUCAUUUAAAGAAAGCGUAAUAGCUCACUGGUCGAGUCGGCCUGCGCGGAAGAUGUAACGGGGCUAAACCAU